GUGAUUGCCCUCGUGGCGUUACAUCCACACACACCUGUGCACUGUUUAGCCCCUUGUGGGGUUUUUUACAAACAUAGUGUAAUGAACGUAUAUUUAUCAUAACAAACA
rnacentral:misc_RNA from 1 species